UACAGAGGUCCCGAGCGUUGUUCGGAUUCACUGGGCGUAAAGGGUGCGUAGGUGGUGAGGUAAGUCGGAUGUGAAAUCUCCGAGCUCAACUCGGAAUGGCAUUGGAAACUGCCUCGCUAGAGUCCGGAAGAGGAGAGCGGAAUUCCCGGUGUAGCGGUGAAAUGACGCAGAUAUCGGGAGGAACACCAAUGGCGAAGGCAGCUCGCUGGGACGGUACUGACGCUGAGACGCGAAAGC
rnacentral:rRNA from 1 species